AUUGAACGCUGGCGGCAGGCCUAACACAUGCAAGUCGAGCGGAUGAAGGGAGCUUGCUCCUGGAUUCAGCGGCGGACGGGUGAGUAAUGCCUAGGAAUCUGCCUGGUAGUGGGGGAUAACGUCCGGAAACGGGCGCUAAUACCGCAUACGUCCUGAGGGAGAAAGUGGGGGAUCUUCGGACCUCACGCUAUCGGAUGAGCCUAGGUCGGAUUAGCUAGUUGGUGGGGUAAAGGCCUACCAAGGCGACGAUCCGUAACUGGUCUGAGAGGAUGAUCAGUCACACUGGAACUGAGACACGGUCCGGACUCCUACGGGAGGCAGCAGUGGGGAAUAUUGGACAAUGGGCGAAAGCCUGAUCCAGCCAUGCCGCGUGUGUGAAGAAGGUCUUCGGAUUGUAAAGCACUUUAAGUUGGGAGGAAGGGCAGUAAGUUAAUACCUUGCUGUUUUGACGUUACCAACAGAAUAAGCACCGGCUAACUUCGUG
rnacentral:rRNA from 1 species